rnacentral:rRNA from 1 species
AUUGAACGCUGGCGGCAUGCUUUACACAUGCAAGUCGAACGGUAACAGGCCGCAAGGUGCUGACGAGUGGCGAACGGGUGAGUAAUGCAUCGGAACGUGCCCAGUCGGGGGGGAUAACGCAGCGAAAGUUGUGAUAAUACCGCAUACGAUCUAUGGAUGAAAGCGGGGGACCGUAAGGCCUCGCGAGAUUGGAGCGGCCGAUGUCAGAUGAGGUAGUUGGUGGGGUAAAGGCUCACCAAGCCAACGAUCUGUAGCUGGUCUGAUAGGACGACCAGCCACACUGGGACUGAGACACGGCCCAGACUCCUACGGGAGGCAGCAGUGGGGAAUUUUGGACAAUGGGCGCAAGCCUGAUCCAGCAAUGCCGCGUGCAGGAAGAAGGCCUUCGGGUUGUAAACUGCUUUUGUACGGAACGAAAAGGUUUGGGUUAAUACCCUGGGCCGAUGACGGUACCGUAAGAAUAAGCACCGGCUAACUACGUGCCAGCCGCCGCCGUAA